CACGUGAGAAACCUGCCUCGGAGUGGGGAAUAACUCGGGGAAACUCGAGCUAAUACCGCAUACCCUCACAUGAUCGCAUGGUCGAGUGAAGAAAGAAUUUCGCUCUGAGAGGGUCUCGCGGCCUAUCAGCUUGUUGGUGGGUAACGGCCUACCAAGGCAACGACGGGUAGCUGGUUUGAGAGAACGAUCAGCCACACUGGGACUGAGACACGGCCCAGACUCCUACGGGAGGCAGCAGUGGGGAAUCUUGCGCAAUGGGCGAAAGCCUGACGCAGCAACGCCGCGUGCGGGAUGACGGCCUUCGUGGUUGUAAACCGCUUUCAGCAGGGACGAAAAUGACGGUACCUGCAGAAGAAGCCCCGGCUAACUACGUG
rnacentral:rRNA from 1 species